UACGGAGGGUGCAAGCGUUAAUCGGAAUUACUGGGCGUAAAGCGUGCGUAGGCGGCGAUUUAAGUCAGAUGUGAAAUCCCCGGGCUUAACCUGGGAAUGGCAUUUGAUACUGGGUCGCUAGAGUUGAGUAGAGGGCAGUGGAAUUUCAGGUGUAGCGGUGAAAUGCGUAGAGAUCUGAAGGAACACCAGUGGCGAAGGCGACUGCCUGGACUCAAACUGACGCUGAGGUACGAAAGCGUGGGUAGCAAACGGGAUUAGAUACCCCGGUAGUCCACGCCGUAAACGAUGUCAACUAACUGUUGGGUUCUUAUUUGAACUUAGUAGUGGAGCUAACGUAUUAAGUUGACCGCCUGGGGAGUACGGCCGCAAGGCUAAAACUCAAAUGAAUUGACGGGGGCCCGCACAAGCGGUGGAGCAUGUGGUUUAAUUCGAUGCAACGCGAAGAACCUUACCUACCCUUGACAUCCUCAGAACUUGUUAGAGAUAACUUGGUGCCUUCGGGAACUGAGAGACAGGUGCUGCAUGGCUGUCGUCAGCUCGUGUCGUGAGAUGUUGGGUUAAGUCCCGUAACGAGCGCAACCCUUAUCCUUAGUUGCCAACAGUUCGGCUGGGAACUCUAGGGAGACUGCCGGUGAUAAACCGGAGGAAGGUGGGGACGACGUCAAGUCAUCAUGGCCCUUAUGGGUAGGGCUACACACGUGCUACAAUGGUCAGUACAGAGGGAAGCCAACUCGAGAGAGCGCGCAAAUCCCACAAAGCUGAUCCUAGUCCGGAUUGCAGUCUGCAACUCGACUGCAUGAAGUCGGAAUCGCUAGUAAUCGCAGAUCAGAAUGCUGCGGUGAAUACGUUCCCGGGCCU
rnacentral:rRNA from 1 species